CCCUUAGAUGUUCUGGGCUGCACGCGCGCUACACUGAUGCGUUCAACGAGUGUACAUCCUGGCCCGGUAGGGUUGGGUAAUCUUCUGAACACGCAUCGUGAUGGGGAUAGAUUAUUGCAAUUAUUAAUCUUCAACGAGGAAUUCCUAGUAAUGGUGAAUCAUCAGUUCAUCGUGAUUACGUCCCUGCCCUUUGUACACACCGCCCGUCGCUCCUACCGAUUGAAUGAUUUAGUGAGGACUUCGGACUGGGACCGAUGCGGCUUUCGGGCUGCGUCGGUAUUCUGGAAAGAUGUCCAAACUGUAUCAUUUAGAGGAAGUAAAAGUCGUAACA
rnacentral:rRNA from 1 species